ensembl:lncRNA
UUUCUACUUGAAGAGUGCCUUCUUCAGGAGUUUCUAGCAAACCUUGAUCCUCAGAAUCAGUAGGUACCCUGUUUCCUGCACUACAUGACAAGUAUCCUAGAAACAAAUUGCAUUACACGACGUGAAUUCAUCUUGUUGUCUACAGGGAAUCAUUUGGAAAAAGGAGCAUAUUUUCUAGCUAGUGGGGGAAAAUGAGAGCCUUGCCUUGACUCUGAAACUUCUAAACAGACAGAUUUUUAUUAGAUUUCCUUGACUGUACAUCCUGCUGUCUUCAUGAAGUUGAACCCCCAUAUUCUGUGGUAAAAUGCACAGCAAAAGAAAUGUGUUAAUAUGGUGGAACUUGUGAAGAACGAGCUGCUGGAUAUUGCCUACCUAGUGUCAUUACGACAGUGCAAAUGGUUUUUUUUUUUUAUGGGGUGAAUGGGCUAAAAUAUAACUUGCAUGAGUUUUUACAUAGGUAAAAUUCAUAUCCUUGAUGCAAAGAACAAUGUUCCCUUUUCCACAGUGUGGAAGUCUCUAACAGUUUGCAGUACAAUGACUAGAAAAUCUUACGAAUAUGAAGAAGUGUUUUGUUCCAUGAAAAUACUGAAACAUAUUAAACAGAUAAAAAUAAUAGAAGUGCUGAGGGACUCUGAAAUGGAUGGUUACCAUUAGCAAAAGUAUAAGUGAAUCUCAUCUACUGUCAAUCUCCUUUAAACAGAGGGAGCAAUUCACUGAAAUUCCUUUUAUGAAUGAGAAGAUUUUUAAACCGCUUAAUGUAAACCAUUUCCAAUUAAGAUCUCACCCUUAUUAGAAAUAGAUCUUUUCAUAACAGCUGUAUCAAUCCUAGAUGUUUAGAAUGAAAGCUGUUCCUAAAAGCUUUCAAUAUUUGCUCCAUCUGUGUAAGAAGGGAAAAAUCCAAGCCAAAUAACAGUGGAAGAAAAAUUUGAGCUGACACUGAUUUAAAAACUGAAGUGAAACUUUGGUCCUGAAAAUGUGAGCAUAUUUACCUUCAAAUGUAGUUCCAUUUAUUCCUCCGAGCAAACUUCAGGGGUUGUUUGCAGAACUAAGACCUAGAUCUGCAAAAUACAACUUGUUUCUGAGACUCAGUUCCAUGUGAACUCAUAAGUACUGUGACAGUUAAGAGAGGCCCAAGAGUUCUGGGAGAACAUUGAAUUUUGAAGCCUUACAGUAUCAUAUUGUUUUUAUUAUACACACAGAUUUUCAAGGUGGCUGAGAACAGUUUAGACCCAAAUGUCUAUUCUACUUACUAAUUUCUUUUUAAUAUUUAUUUUGGUGUGUUAAAGAAUGGGGAAAUUACACAGUGUAUUUAGUAUAUCACUCAGUGGUGUAGAGCUACAGUGCCAAAGUCUUAAUGUGAAUUGGAUUGCAAAGCUUUUGGUCAUUUAUUUGCAAUCUGUGUGAGUGAGCCCCCUAAAUACUGAAGACUAAAAAACAAUAAGAAGGUUCUGUUUUGUUAAGUGUGCAUUGCAACAUAGUGUUUGUGUUUUAAUUAACUUAAUCUGUAUCUUCCUGAAUACUUCACUAUACCAUGAGAAAAUCCUGACUGAAUGCUUCCUGAGCACAGCAGCUUCCUCGUUGCUGCUGUUGUCCUGUGCUGGAGAGAUUUGUAAU